UCUGGUUGAUCCCGCCAGUAGUCAUAUGCUUGUCUCAAAGAUUAAGCCAUGCAUGUCUAAGUAUAAAUAGUAUACAGUGAAACUGCGAAUGGCUCAUUAAAACAGUUAUAGUUUAUUUGAUAAUUGACAAUUACAUGGAUAACCGUGGUAAUUCUAGAGCUAAUACAUGCUUAAACGCCCGACUUUAUGGAAGGGUGGUAUUUAUUAGACUGAAGCCAAUAUUCCUUGUGUCUAUUGCGGUGAUUCAUAAUAACUGAUCGAAUCUCUUUUUGAGAUAAAUCAUUCAAGUUUCUGCCCUAUCAGCUUUCGAUGGUAGUGUAUUGGACUACCAUGGCAGUAACGGGUAACGAAGAAUUAGGGUUCGAUUUCGGAGAGGGAGCAUGAGAAACGGCUACCACAUCUAAGGAAGGCAGCAGGCGCGUAAAUUACCCAAUCCUGACUCAGGGAGGUAGUGACAAGAAAUAGCAAACCGGGAACCUCAUGGUUUCACGGUAUUGCAAUGAGAACAAUUUAAAACCCUUAGCGAGAAUCAAGUGGAGGACAAGUCUGGUGCCAGCACCCGCGGUAACUCCAGCUCCACUAGCGUAUAUUAAAGUUGUUGCAGUUAAAAAGCUCGUAGUUGAACCUCUGUCUGGGGCUAGUUUUGGCUUUGGUCAGGCUAGUUCUAGGCAUCCGCCUACAAGACUUAGAGGGCAUUCAGUUGUUCACUAGGAGGAGUAGGCAUUUCACUUUGAAAAAAUUAGAGUGUUUAAGGCAGGCAAUCGCCCGCAUAUAUUAGCAUGGAAUAAUAGAAUAGGACACUUUUCCAUUUCGUUGGUUAUUGGAAUCGUGUAAUGAUUAAUAGGGACAGUUGUGGGCAUUUGUAUUUAAUUGUCAGAGGUGAAAUUCUUGGAUUUAUUAAAGACAAACUAACGCGAAAGCAUUAGCCAAGGAUGUUUUCAUUAAUCAAGAACGAAAGUUAGGGGAUCAAAGACGAUCAGAUACCGUCCUAGUCUUAACUAUAAACUAUUCCGACUCAAUGUUUGACUGGCUUAUAUAACCAGUUGAGCGUUGUAUGAGAAAUCAAAGUCUUUAGGUUCUGGGGGGAGUAUGGUUGCAAAGCUGAAACUUAAAGGAAUUGACGGAAGAGCACAACCAGGAGUGGAUUCUGCGGCUUAAUUUGACUCAACACGGGGAAACUUACCAGGUUAAAACAAUAGUGGGAUUGACAGUUUGAGAGCGCUUUCUUGAUUGGUUGGGUGGUGGUGCAUGGCCGUUCUUAGUUGGUGGAGUGAUUUGUCUGCUUAAUUGCGUUAGCGAACGAGACA
rnacentral:rRNA from 1 species